UACGUAGGGGGCAAGCGUUGUCCGGAAUCAUUGGGCGUAAAGCGCGUGUAGGCGGUCCAGUAAGUCUGCUGUGAAAGUCCAGGGCUCAACCCUGGGAUGCCGGUGGAUACUGCUGGGCUAGAGUACGGAAGAGGCGAGUGGAAUUCCCGGUGUAGCGGUGAAAUGCGCAGAUAUCGGGAGGAACACCAAUUGCGAAGGCAGCUCGCUGGGACGUCACUGACGCUGAGACGCGAAAGCGUGGGGAGCAAACAGG
rnacentral:rRNA from 1 species